rnacentral:sRNA from 1 species
UGGGUGCGGUGGUGUGUACUUAUAGUCCCAGCUACACAGGAAGCUGAUGCAGGAGGAUUGCUUGUGUCCAGGAGUUCAAGGCCAGGCUGGGCAACAUAGCAAGAUCCUAUCUCAG